CCCGGACAUACGACCAGCUCUCCGACCAGUCGGAAUUGUACGCUGUAGGAGAACUUCGGACAGAUUUUAAAUAAAUCAUGAUGAAUGGGGAGAGAAAAAUAAGAAGGUCACAAUCUCUGGCAGGCCAGGGGCUCAAUUUUAGAGGUGCACAGAAAGGUAACUGAAAGAGUAUGCCAUAAUGCCUGUUAGCUCGGUUUCAGCCCAAGAAGAUUGGGCUGAAAGAGCUUAGAAAUCGCCACUGGACCAGAAUGCCUUGCUCUGGCCUGCCCUAUGUGUCAUCCAACUACCCGCCACACCAUUUAGGCUAUUAUUCAGUGUGCCGCAUCACAUGACAGGCACACUCCGUCCCCCGCAGGCUUCUCCCUGACAAACGCAGAUGGUGGGCUGCAUGCGGACAAUAAACGAGGCCCGGAUGAAUUUACGCUCUUCAGCACUCGGCAGUGAGGAACCCAGCAUGCAGCUUUAUGGAUUCCCGAUGACUGAGAAAACGAGCUGUCGCAGAACACAGAGGUUGGAGAUCGGCGAUAGGACCAGCCAGAGGUUUUUCUCUUGUGGCAUUGACAGCCGAGGGAAUUAUUAAGAGGUCAUGAAGCUAUACCUGCAAAUUGAGGGGCAUGUUUGCAGCUAGAUUAGGAAUAUAAGGCAUACUGGGAAUAAUAUUAGGAAAGCCACUUGGGUUAGGACACAACACAGGGCCGCUUGGCCCGCGGAUGGGAAGCGGACCUGCUCCUUGAUUUGGGAAUGUCUCUUUCCAGGAGGAAUAUGAAAAUUGAAACAGUAGUGAAGUGUGUAAGGAUGAAAGGGAGAAUAAUUUGUAGUGAGUGGAGUUAGGAUGGAUGCAGGGGACUGGUCAGGUUUCCUGGGGAAUUGAAUCCCAUCCAAGGUAAUCCUGCCUAUGUCUCUCAGACACUGAGCAUCAUAUUGCAGGGUUAGGGUUGCCCC